CAGCCGCCGCGGGAAUACGAAGGGUGCAAGCGUUAAUCGGAAUUACUGGGCGUAAAGCGCACGCAGGCGGUCUGACAAGUCAGAUGUGAAAUCCCCGGGCUUAACCUGGGAACUGCAUUUGAAACUGUCAGGCUGGAGUCUUGUAGAGGGGGGUGGAAUUCCAGGUGUAGCGGUGAAAUGCGUAGAGAUCUGGAGGAAUACCGGUGGCGAAGGCGGCCCCCUGGACAAAGACUGACGCUCAGGUGCGAAAGCGUGGGGAGCAAACAGGAUUAGAUACCCGCGUAGUCCCUGUCUCUUAUAC
rnacentral:rRNA from 1 species